rnacentral:rRNA from 1 species
CAGUCGCCGCGGUAAUACGGAGGAUCCAAGCGUUAUCCGGAAUCAUUGGGUUUAAAGGGUCCGUAGGCGGUUUUAUAAGUCAGUGGUGAAAUCCGGCAGCUCAACUGUCGAACUGCCAUUGAUACUGUAGAACUUGAAUUAUUGUGAAGUAACUAGAAUAUGUAGUGUAGCGGUGAAAUGCUUAGAUAUUACAUGGAAUACCCAUUGCGAAGGCAGGUUACUAACAAUAUAUUGACGCUGAUGGACGAAAGCGUGGGGAGCGAACAGGAUUAGAUACCCCUGUAGUCCCUGUCUCUUAUAC